UACGGAGGAUGCGAGCGUUAUCCGGAUUUAUUGGGUUUAAAGGGUGCGCAGGCGGAGGCACAAGUCAGCGGUAAAAUGUCCGGGCUCAACCCGGGCCGGCCGUUGAAACUGGGGAUCUUGAGUGGGCGAGAAGUAUGCGGAAUGCGUGGUGUAGCGGUGAAAUGCAUAGAUAUCACGCAGAACUCCGAUUGCGAAGGCAGCAUACCGGCGCCCGACUGACGCUGAGGCACGAAAGCGUGGGGAUCGAACAGG
rnacentral:rRNA from 1 species